rnacentral:rRNA from 1 species
CCUACGGGCGGCUGCAGUGGGGAAUAUUGGACAAUGGUGGGAACCCUGAUCCAGCGACGCCGCGUGAGUGAAGAAGUAUCUCGGUAUGGAAAGCUCUAUCAGCAGGGAAGAAAAUUACGGUACCUGACUAAGAAGCCCCGGCUAACUACGUGCCAGCAGCCGCGGUAAUAUGUAAGGGGCAGGCGUUAUCCGGAUUUACUGGGUGUAAAGGGAGCGUAGUCGGUGCAGCAAGUCUGAUGUGAAAGGUCGGGGCCCAACCCCGGGACUGCAUUGGAAACUGUUGAACUGGAGUACAGGGAAGGUAAGCGGAAUUCCUGGUGUAGCGGUGAAAUGCGUAGAUAUUAGGAGGAACACCAGUGGCGAAGGCAGCUUACUGGAGUGUAACUGACGUUGAGGCUCGAAGGCGUGGGGAGCGAACAGGAUUAGAUACCCGAGUAGUC